GCUCUGUUCUGUUGUUCAGUGCGGGGGGGGGGGGGGGGUUGGAAAUCACAGUGUGUGGGCAGGCUUAUUACUGAGGUCAGUCUAAAUAGCCUGCAGAUGUUUGGCUACUUUUAAUACCUGCUAACAGGAUUGUGAUACUUGCCUACAUCAAGUCUGGUUUUUUGUUUCAGUCCUGACAUCUACUUUUCUAGAUUGUAUUUAUGAGAUUGAGUCUUAUCAUAUCUGAUUAUUUAUUUAGCUGGGUUAAUGAUUACCAAAGUUCAAGAGAAUUAUUUGAAAUAAAGAUUUCAUCCUUUUAGGAUGGAAGGGUGGUUUGUAUUUCCCUACCUGGGAUUUGGACAGCACCAUUUAUUCACUUUGCAGUAGAGCUGUGCAAAUAUCAUUGUAUGAUGUUAUUGCAGUUAUUUAGUUACCAGUUUCAUUUAAAGUUAGUGUUUAAUAUAUGAAAUAGAUAACUCCGAACAUUUAUUUCAAAAAUGAAAUUUGUUUCUUUUAGAAUUUUUUUUACUGGUUUGGAAAUUCUGAAUGACUCCUGUGGCUGAGUCUUAAAAUAUUCUUUGACAGCCUGCUGUCUCACAAAAGUUGUUGGCUCCUUAUUCACUGUGGCUUUUUCAGGCUUAAACAGGUCUCCUUGUAGGAAGUAUACUUUUUGUUAUUUUUCAUGGAGUUUGGCUUCCUAAAUUGUGUAGACUGAGGGUUCUGAGCCUGGGGGCCCUAUGGUCUUCCAGAGAUCAUGGAAGACAGUGUGACUAUUUAGGCUUUGUUUCUUUAAUUGUGAAAAACACUUACUUUACCAUUGAUAGAAUUUCCAUUUUUAGGACUAACAUACUAAAUGCCUUUCUUUACUUUUUGCAAGAAGUUUGCUAGGGUUUUAUUCUCAUGCUACUGAAAGCCAUUGAUUGCUACAUGUGCUUUUAAUAGUAACUUAGCUAUCUUGAGAGAAACCUCAUCUCUCAAGGCCACCUUUUGUGUUUCUACUUUUUCUUUUGGUAACCUGUUGCUACUUUUGCAAAAAGUGGAUGAAAUUAUACACAAAGAAGGGAAAACAAGUUAUGCCACUUUGGGCAAACCAAGAAAUAAUGCGCUAAUCGUUACUUAUUGUGAAUACCUUACUGGAGAAAUCUACAACCAUGGAAGGUGACGGUAAGUUUCUGUCUGGUUACGGCAGCGGGAGCAACACUGAUCCUAUUCAACACUUACAGGAGGUGUUGGAUUGGGACCAGGAAAACUAGCUCGGGUCUUAGUGUUAGGCAGGUAAUUAGGCAAGUAUUGUCUAAAUCAGUUCCUUCAGUCCAAAGUGGUGACUUUUCCGUCAGUUCACAAAUCCCUCAGGUCUGUGAACACAGAGAGAAGUGAUUUGAGUGAAGAUGCUGGGAAAUUGUGUAAAGAGAAGGCAUUCACGUGACUACAUAUUUUGAUUAAAAAGUUUUUGUAGGACUGAAGAUGUAGCUCAUUGGUAGAAAAUAAUACUUCCAUAGCAUGUGCAGGGUCUUGGAUUCAAUCCCCAGCCCUAGAAAAAAAAGUUUUUUUUCUUGUAAAUUUUUUCAUUAAUUUUUAUGAUAGAUCCAUGUUUACCUUAGAAAACAGAUCUCAGAAGUUAUGGUGUUCACCAUUAGUAAAGAAACAAAUCAAAAUAUACAUAUUUACCUCAAAUUUGGCUUUCCAGAAAUAUGCUUUAUGCUCAUUGCCUUUCUGGAGCUUUAAAACAUGUAUAAUUUUGUUGGUUUGUGGGAGAAGGAAUACAUGGUCAUUAUAAGGAAUUGCAUGAAAUGGGAACGUACAAGGAAAAAGUCAAAGCUGUCUAGAACUCCACUCCCCAGAGAUGGACACCAGGACCUGGUGGGUGAAUGUUCUCCAGAGAGCUCUGUACACAUACAUGUUUGCUCAGGGAUGUGUUUUACAUAAAUGGAAAGAUCUCUCCUUGCUAUUUGGUAAGCUUUUCUCACUGAAUUCUAUAUUGAAGAUGCCAUUUUAUUUCAGUGAUCGUAUAUUUCCUGAUCAUAUUUUUCCUGGCUGCCUCAUUGUGUAGAUGGAUCAUAACACAUGUAAUCACCUCUCUCUUGUAUGUUGUUUUGUUUAGCUUUCUACCUGUGAUUUAUGGUAAUUCUUUGUAAGUAAGAAUCUUGGAUGAAAGGAUGUAUACUUCAUACAGUACUUUGAUAUGUGUUAACAACAUGAUCUGGAAUAUCGUGGUCCUAGUGACAACACAUAAAGGCUCACACAUUGAGUUAAUUUUCCUGGAUCUUAGUUCUCUUAGUAACUAACAAACUUGUUUGUAAUGUUGCUUGUCCACCUCUGCUCUUAAAUUAUUUGCAUAUGUGUUAGAAAGUGAAUGCACAGAAAAGUUAGCACCCUGAACAUACACAUUCUCUUAAACGUGCAGUUGCAGAGAGUAAUACUUUGUCUAUCUUGCGGAAAACGUUAGUCAUCAUUAUCACUUUCCUUGUCUAAAGGUUCAAAGUCAUCAGAAAAGUAUACAGAGAUGACAGCACACUGAAUGGGAAUCUAAAUGGCAGUGGCCCAAAGACAUUCCUUUUUUUUUUAAUAUGUACCCCCCAUCUUGGAACUUAAUUUUCAUGACAGUGUACAAUUAGGUAUAUUUAUUAACUAGCUCCUUACACCUUUUAGUAAAUUCUAAUGUGGGAGGUGGGAGAAUGAGUUAAAGAUGGGUUGGGGCAGACUCAGUUCACUUGAACACACAGAAUCCGGCUUCUGCAGCCUGUUGGUAAAUGGCUUACUGUUAGGGAGAGCUGACAUUGCUGUGGAUGACGGAUGGAAGUUACAGAAUUAUGCUUCUGGUCAGACCCAUGCUAAAACAGUGGCACUCCAACCAGCACUAAUGCUGGGGAGGCACUGGAAGCGGAGUGAACGUUGGACACACAGAGAGGAGCAGGAAGCAGAUGACGGUGACACCUGCCAGGCUCCAUGAAAGUCAGUCACUUUUACCUGGCUUCCUAAUUGUUAGAAGUGGAAGAACUCAGGCAUCUCUAUUUGAAAACCUCAAAUAGGGGGGUAUGUUUCCAGCUUGUUUCUUCUAAUGCCUGCCAUUGUUUGGCAGAAUUGUUCAUCAGGCUUUGUGCAGUUGUGUCUACCACUGACCAGGACAUGGAAUAGGUCCAGCCUGCUUUUUCCUCUCUCCAUCUUCAUCAGGAAGUAUUAAGUAUAACGCCCUUCAGCGAUCCCUUCCUCCUCUGUCCCUCCCGAGUAAGCUAAUAACAGUAUCUUAUCAGUGAACACUUCUCUGUGGUCAUUAACACUGAUUCUGUAGUAGAUAGUGGGUAAAUGCUUUUUUAUGCAUCAGACCAUCUUUGCAUUUUUUAAUCAUCCAACCUGACCUCUGAAUCUGUGGUGGAGGGAAGUUGUUCAAGUCUUGGCAGGAAGGAGCACAGCCCCAGUUCUUCAGGGCUGACUGCCAACAAGGCACAAAUCCUGAGGUGCUUUGAAGAGAACCAGCACAGUUUUAAGAGAAAGAAGCCAUGUCUUCUACAGAGCCGCUGUUACUUGCUCUGAGGUUUUUGCCUCAUGUUGGGAAUUCUCUGUAGGAGCCAGGGAGAAAACAACACGAAGUGGUGAUAGUGGAGAACAGUGAAACCCUUGUUAGUUAAAAGAGAGAUGUGCCUUUUCCCUUCCAUCUGUUGUCACUUUACUGUGUUGCUAUCUAGAAGAUGAAGGAAGCCACCCUUCCUGCUUCUCAUGGGGGUUUGAAGAGUCUUGGGUCAGUUUGUUCCUGCAUGGAAGACCUCCCUGGGCCUGCUCUUCAGCACCUGAGGGGUUAGGAAGAGGCUGCCACGUGUCUCAGGCAGGUGAGGACGGUAAGGUUGUUUGAAUGAUGUCUCUUGAGUAACUGGCCUGGGAGAGCCCAUUCUACCUGGAAAUCUGAUGAAGUCACUGCUCUGAUGACAGCUGCAGGGCGUCCAGCUGCUUCUUUCUGUCUUCAGCUCCCAUCUCUUGCUAUAUUCCCUAUAUUCCGCUGCUGUUGACCUGUCAUAGCCACCCAAGUUGGCAGGACACCAUUCUCUCCCCAGACUCUGAGCACAAGCCCUGGAAUCUGUUCUGUGCGUGUCCCACAGCGGCCCUGUGGAGGAAGUCCCCAGUAUUCCAUUGGUUCGCUCCAAUGGGUGGUGGCGCUCAGCUCAAGUCAUAGAUGCAUCAUACAUUAAUGUGCUUUAUAGAAGAAGAAGGAAAAAAGUAAACUUCAUCUUGCAGAAGAGGUCACUUCUCUGUUUAAUUCCUUUUAGUGUUUUCCUGUUAUGUGUACUGUAACAGCUGAUCUCUCUGCCCAGUUUUAAGAAGCCCCCAUGAUUGGCGCUGCCUGCCUCUCCCUGCUCUGCUAGGAGUGUAUCCCAUCACCUCCCACCAUGCCCUUUCUAUUUCUCAAACCAUCCUAGCUUGUUUCUGCCUCAAAACCCUUUUUCUACUCCUUUCAGCCUGUGUUUCCUUGAUCGCCGCUCUCUAGGUCACAGCUCCAUAUUCCAGCCCAAGGAAGAUAAUGUUCUCUCAUAUCUUUCUCUUUUAUGUUUCUUCUAGCACUUUUAUCAACCAGGAUCAGCUGCUUUCCUUGUCUGGGCUUCCCUCUGCCUCAGAUAGCAGGUAUUUCAUCUGGCUUCUCCUUGCUGUCUGCUGGGCCCCGUAGUGAGUGCUGGGAAGAUAAUCCUUCAGUGGUGGCGUCCAGUGGAGGAAUACAGGUGCAGCCUUAUGCUUUACUGUCUUUUAGCCCCCACCCCUUCACACAGUUGUCACACAUAGUCGUAUUGCCUUCGCGGAAAUUCUGGCCCGGAGGAUUUGUCAUUUAGUGCCAGGGGGACUUCUGAGAAAUUCUGGAUCGUGAUGUAACCUCAGAGGAAGGAAUACAAGACUGAUGUUCAGCAAGCCUGCCGCGCACUUGGAAAGGGCAGCUGGUGGAAGGAAGCACUUUGCUGUGCAUUUUCCUGGCUUUUCCGCCAAAGCCAGUGUCCAUGUGUACACUGUGUACUCUGUCAACCGGUGACUUUUCUUUGGUCAUUCUCUCCUUAGCAUGCAAGUCCCUUAGCUUGUCCUUUAUCCCACUGGGUCGCUCUCAUCAGUAUUCAAGCAUACUAGCUUUCCCCUCUAUCCUAAAACACACAUUACAACUUGGGCACUCAACUUGUGGUUCCUCAUUUUUUGCUCUCCUGUGUAGUGAAGCACGUGAAAGGACUCUUGGGCCUCCUGAUUCCAAAUCCUCUCCUUUAUGCCUCCAAUCCAUCUCUUCUGUUCUUUGAAAACAUGCCAGUGUAGCAGAACUGUUCUUGCCACGAUCUGCUGUGACACCGCUUGUCACUGCUCGGUUCUCUGACUUAUCAGCAGGACCUGACAUACAUGGUCACCGCUGUUAGAAGUCACCGCUCUUUCUGCAUUGGCUCCUGACCGCCAUCCCCUUCUGGUUGCCUUUUAUCUCUGGUCAGGUUUUUUGUCUUCUGUUUUGCUUUCUCUUAUCUCUGACCUCAGUGUUGAAACCCUGAAGUCAAAGGUUUGUCAUUCUCUCCUGUCUCAUCCAGUGUCCUGGUUUUAACUGUAUUGAUGACUCUCCUGAGCACUGGAUUCUUGAAUCCCAGUCUACAUCACAUCUCCACUUAGGCGUCUAUCGAUUAUCAAACCUUACUAAAAACUGAGUAUCUAGUUUUUUUGUUUGUUUGUUUUAAUUCUAAGACUUGCUCUUUCUUUGUCUUUUUCCACCUCAAUCAGUGGCAUCUUGUUGCUCAGAGCAGAGACCUUGGGAUCACACUUGACUCUUUUCUUUCUCUCACACCCCUUUGGUUGUCUUAAUUUUUGUAAGAUAAUAAGAAUCUGACCAAUUUCUAUUACUUGUGCUGUUGCCAAUAAAACCACCGUAUCUUUUACCUGAUCUCCCUUGACCCAGAUAGUGUAUUCUCACCUCUUCCCUUAAGAGGGAAGUCACGUUUAAAUCUUUAGUGGCUAAUUAUACUACCCCAUUUAAAACUUAAGCUAGAAACAGGAUAUCUGUGAUCCCAGCUGGGGGAGCUGAGGCAGAAGGAUCACUGUGAACUCAAGGCCAUGGCGCCAGGCUACACAGGGAAUUCAGAGCUAGCCUGAUCUACCUAGUGAGACUCUGUCUCAAAGAACCAAACCAAAACAACUUAGGCUAUAGCUAUAGUAGUCGGAAAUGUACAUUUGCAGAGAUACAUAUACACAGAUCAGUAAAACAGAAAAGAGAAUCCAGAAAUAGACUCACACAGGUAUUUCCAACUAUUUUUGUAAAGGAGUUUUAGAAAUGGCCUUUUCCAUAAAUAAUUCUAUAGCAGUUUUGGCACCGGUGGCCAGAAAAUGCAAACCUUAACCUAGAACACAUUUUGUAUAAAAACAAACUCCAAAUGGACCACAGAUCUAAAUAUGAAACUUCUUUGAAGAGACCAAGGUUAGGCAGAGUUCUCCGAGAUAGUAGUGUUUGAUCUAUUUUAAAUCCUUUGCAGUAGCAAGUUAUUCCCUGAAAUUUGCUGUAGGGUUAGCAUGGAGUUUCAGCUUGGUUGGGUUGGGAUCAGCCUUGGGAAUUGGUGCUCACUUUUAGAAGGGUUGUGAAAGCCUGGCCUGAGGUCUGUGCCUGGUUGCUGGCCCCUCUGCUCUAGUAUUUUGUUCUACUUUGCCUCUUGGCUACCACAGACUAAGAGCUUUGCUCCAGCAAAUCCUUCCACUGUAAUUGUCUCUGCCUUGGAGUCAGCUAAUUAUGGAAUGAAACUGUAAAUUAAACCUCUCUUCCUCUAGGUUGUGGGUGUUGGUAUUGUGUCUCAGUGGCCAGAAAGCUAAUACAUAAGCAAUCCUUCCUCUCCUUCAAGUGUUAACUAAAUAGCACCUCAGUUAGUCAUGUUCUGAUCACUCCCUGUCCUCUCCUCUCCUUCUUUUAGUCAUUUGCAAAAGAUCUAACUCUCUGUUUCCUAUUUUCUGUCUUUUAUUUUGUGCUUUAUUUGUAAUUUGGGUUUUUAUGUAAGAGAAGUCAUGUGAUAUUUAAGCUUGUGUGCCUGAUUCAUUUCACUUAACAUUAUACUGGCCACUGUUUUUACUGAUGCAAAUCUCUAGUUUGUUGCCCUCCUGAGCACAUUACUCUGUUCCUUUGUGUGUGUGUGUGUGUGUGUGUAUUUUGCUGGGGAUCAAACUUAAAACCUUGUGAUGCUAGGCAAGUGUUACAAUACUCAGCUACAUCCCCAGCUGUUUUUUUCUAUAGCACAUGUCAUACCAUUUAAUUUACUGUGUUACUGUUUAUCUAUCUCCUAUUAGAAUGUAUGCUCCAGGCAAAAAUUUUUGCUUUAUUCUUUGGUAUAUUCACUUCCUAGAACAGUGCUGCACAUAGAAAGGACUCAAUAGGUAUCUACUGAUUGAAUAAACAUUUAUAUUUAAAUAUCAGAAAAUCAAUACAGAAUUGCUGUUGAAUCAGAAUGAGUAAUUUCCUGGCAGCUUAUUUAAUUUCUCUCUUGCCCCAUAUACAGGUCUCCAUUCAAUAUAUGAUUCUUAACACUGGACAUAGAAGGAAAAUAAGACUUAAUUAUUUGGUGUUGUAGGAAAACAAGAAAAGGCAGGAGUCGUGCCAGUAUUAAUCCUUGUUUCCCUCCCUUUUUGGUGUCAAGGGAAGUGGCUCUAUUUUCUCACCAUGUAGCUAUUCUGACUCAGGAUAGAUCAUAUGGAGAGCAGCAGCUCGUCUUAGAUUGUAACUCUGCUGCUUGGGCCCCAAUUUUGGUGGUUUUGCUUAUUCUUAAUUGGGUUGCAUCACAAAGCGAGAGGUGCACUGUGCUAGCUCCCUGCCUGCUGGUGACUUGGGGAAUAGUACUCUCUGCUCCUGUGCCUUAGAAAUAGGUCUGGCCCAGUCCUUCCCUAUGCCCAGUGUUACGGUGUGAGAAGCAGGCGCUUAGGAACCUUUAGGAACCAGAGGAGUAGUUAAAUCUCCAAGUAGCUUACUUGCUUUAUCUUGCCUACUGACACAGGUUUAGUAACCAUGGAAUGAAACAUACUGAUUGAGUGUACUGAUUAAACAUAGAAUUGUCUUUGACUCAUGCUUCAUUUUAGGCCAAAUAUUAUUUUACUUACAAAAAAUAAGGAUUUUUUCUCUUUUUCAAGGGGAGAGAAUUACCAGUGAUGUUCAGAGUAAUUGCCAACUGAGUAGCAUCUGCAAUACCAAUCUCCCCCUCAGUCUUACCUUGAAAAUGACCUCAUGUAGAAAAGUUGAUUAUUCUCAUGUUUCUGUUAACUGUUGAGCUUUGUUCUGUGGCUUAAUAGAAUCAAGCAAGCUCAUUAAAUUCAUAGAAAUUCCUUGAAGGUGAAGGCAGUUUCUAAGAAGGGGGGUCUUUUGGAGUACAGUAUUGGAAUUGGCCUUCAACGGUUUGUAGAAGCCAAGAUAUGCUGGGAACAUGCACAAUGUAAAAUGGGAUGAGGGUGGAGCAUGGUGGUUGACCUCUAUAAGCCUAGCUACUCUGGAGUGUGAGGCUGGAGGAGUCGGGUUGAGGGCAGAUUGGUCAAGAUAGGGAGAUCUUGCCAGAGACAGACAGACAGAAACAGAGAGAAAAAGAGGGAAGGAAGGAGGACAGAAGGGAGAGAAAAGAGAGGGGAAAAGAGUGAAUAGGGGUGGAAAUAAAGGAAAGGAGAUUUACUCGAACACAUUUAUAUGGCAGAGAACUAAUUACAUUUAAUCUUAUAAGAGGGUCUAUUUUAACAUUUUGGUAAGUAUUAGGGGACUUUAUUUACAAAGCAUUGGGAAGUGAUGUAUGCUUGAUUCUUACUCCAGCGGGCUCUCACCCCCUUAAUACCAUAAACUACUAUACAGCACAGGUUUAGACUGGUGAAACCUGGUUAAACUAACUAUUAAAGGCAACCUGACAGCAGGAAAGAUGCACCAAAAAGCAUGUGGAGAGGUUGAAGAAAUCGGAGUGGUUAGUCAUCUGGUAGACUAGGCUGCUACAGAGGUCAUUUGUGUUUAGAUCUGUGCUUUCGGAUCUCAGGGAGUGUCCUCCUCUCGGAAUACACAGUGGUGUGGUAACUUGGUCUGGAGUCAGACUGCUGGUGUUCCUGUCCCCGUGCUGUCUCCUCCCUGACUGUGUCACCUUGAGUAUCUGUAAAAUAGCGAUGAGGAUACCAAAGUUGUAGGCUAGUUACGAGGGUUAGACGGGCAUACACACAUGCCAAGAACACUUCCUGAUACAGUUAGCAUUCAUUCAGUGUUAUCCACUGUUAAUUGUCGUUAUUUCCCCAGUCUUUCCCCCAGCUGCUCAGGUAAAAGGGAGAGAUUGAAAGCUAGAAGGUAACAGAAGGACUGGACACUUUGGGUGGCACAGUUACCCUGGGCCAGAACUCUGGGGAAUCUCUUGCUGUCCAGUCUCUGCAGGUCAAUUCCUACUAGAGGCAGGACCCCUCCCUGCCCUACAUAAAGUGUCCUCCAUAAUUAUUUACAGAUGCCUGUGUAUUGUCAAUAUUAUACCUUUGGGCCUUUGUGAUGUCCAUUCCCUUACUGACCUGGUCCACUCUGCUGGCCCUUUCUCCACUCUGUCUUUUGUGCAAUGGCUCCUGUACCUAGUACUCACUGUAUUCAGCUAUUAUUUGUCUGCAUAUCAGUUUCCUUGUGGGACUCACUCUGUGAGGGUGGGGCUGUGACUUUCCCAUCUUGGUGACCACAGUGUUUGGCAUGGCACUAAGCAGACGUUCGAGGGACUGGGUCUUGGGAGCCAGCUGAAUAAUGCCCACUGGGGCUCAUCUGAAGUUAGUGUCUGGAUCCUGGGAGGACAGGGAGAAGUGACUCAGACGGUGCCUGUGAGGAUUCGCUGACGAGCGGAGCCCUGGGUGCAUGCAGAAGCUGCUGCUUCACAGAGCCCGAGGUAAGCAGGAGGGAAUCCAAAGAACUCAACCAUGCUUCAAGACAGUCACCCUGGGCUGUCUUAGAAAAACACAAUCCAGAAAACCUCUGAUCAGGCUAUCGCAUUGUUUUAUCUCAAAUCUUAUAUAAACUGUUUGCUUUUUAAACUCCUGAAUUGUUUUCUGUUUGCUUUAACUUUAUAUUUAGGCACUGUUUUGGGACAGUCUGUUCAUUUUUGUGUGUGUGUUUGUUUUGGCAGUGUAAGUAUUUGGAAUGAAAGAUCCUGUUUCAGAGUCAGAUAUGCUGGACUUUUGGUCCACAUAGAUUACACAUAGGUAGCAAAGGAUUGAGUUUUUUGUUUGUCUUGUUUUAUUUUUAUUUGUUGUUUUGUCUUUUUUAAAAAAUUUUAAACCAACUCUUAAGAGGGCCAGACACUAACCUAAUGUGUAUUGUGAUAUUAUAGUGCAGUCCGCCUACUCUUUCCGUUUUUUAAUUGGGAAAGCCUUGUAACCAGUUGGAGCACCAUCAUACAAAUUAGUCUUUGAGUCUUUCUUGAUAAUUUACAGAAAAGUAGAGCAAAUAAGAGAAUUUCUUUUAGAGGAUAUAAGGGAGAUUUCCCUCUAUUUUCCAAAAGAGAAAUUUAUGAAGAAACUUUAUGACAGCUUUUUGUGUAUAAAUUUCUGUGUUCAAAAAUUCAAAAAUAAUAGUUGAAUUUGUCAGCUUAAAGAAGUGAGGGGAGUUGGAACCUGGCUCUGGCCCUGCCUCUUUCCUGUCAGUGCGACAUGGACAUCUUUUCUCUGGGUCCCUGUGUUAGUUACAAAAUAUCUAACAUCCAAGUUUAAAGAAGGAAAAGUUUAUUUUGGCUCAUGGUUUGUAGAGCUAUCAGUCCAUAGUCAGCUGGCUCCAAGGCAGGCUGUCAUGGCCAAGGGGCAUCACAGAGGAGAAACAGCUCAUGACAAGCAGAAAGCGGCCAGUGUAGCAAGUAGUAAGUGACAAGUAGCAAUGACAGCAGCCAUCUUUCUGUCCCUUAUAUUCUGUCCAGUCUGCCCGCCUUUGGGGUCUAAGUCCCAGCAUCAAAUUCUUAAUCAGAUACUCUAGAUCUAGACACCUUCACAAAGCCCUACCUAUGACCACAUGAGGCCUUUGGGGAAUGUCUGGAUACAAGCCCUAAGAGUCCCAUUUUCUUCAUCUGUAAAUUUAGGAUGUUGGGUCUCUGAGGGUCCUUUAAAACUCUUAACUUUCUAGGAUUUUAACUUUUGGCCUACCAUUUAGAAUCUAGAGCUCCAACUCCGUUACAUGAUUCUGUGCUAGCCUAACCUUGAAGCUGUGAUGGAAGUCAGACUUUGCAGGAAGCCGGGAGUGGUCCAUUAGGCUGGAGCCCAGGAUGGGCUGAGGGAAAAUGACAGACUUGAGAGGCCAAACAUUGUGCUUCCCCGACCAGGUCAGUGAGGCAAGUGUGGUGGUGCCAAGCACAGAGAUGGUGCCACCGCAUGACAGUGUUGUACUGUUAUGGUGCUGAGCUGCUGUGGUGUCCUGCACCCUGGGGCCUACCUCAGCAGUAUCAUGCCAUGCUGCAAGAGUGCCCUGUGCGGUAUCUCGCCACAAAGGUGCCCUGUAACAACUUUUCUGUCUGCCGUGGGCAGUGGUGCGUGGCAUGCGCACUGCACAGUCCCUUGCCCCUCUGGUAUCGUGCAGACAGACACCCCUUGCAUAUCUGUCAUGUUGCUUUCUGCCUUAGGAUUACAGAGAGGUCAUUGUCCUUCACAUCGCACUGGCCCUCUGCACCCUGCGUUCUAAUCGUUCAUGUCCUUACGUAAGUUUCUCUCUUCAAACUAAAUUCUUCCCCAACCCCAGGCGUGCUUAUACAUUCACCCAGUAAGCCUUCUUGUGAGCUUAUGCUCCUCUUUGGGUUGUUUUUAUUUACCUCCUUGGUUGAAAGAAACAUUCUAAAUAUCUGAGAAGAACUUAGAUUUUUUUUUUUUUUGUAUGCUUCUGCACUUGGUGUGGUGCUUGGCAGAUUGUAUUUCUUUUUUUUAUUUUUUUAAUCAGUACUGGGGAUCGAACUCAUGACCAUGUGCUUGCAAGGUAGGCACUUAUGCCGCUGAGCUAAAUCCCCAGCCCCUAGACUGUAUUUCUUAAGUAUUAAGUAAUUAGUACUGUGAUUAGAAUUAGGUUCAGUGCAACCCUAACUGUGCUAAGGCAAGAUUGGAGUUUAUUCAUCUGUCAUGAAGAAGUUACCUUUGCUCCCUAGGGCUGCGUGAUGACUGUGUUUAUCAGGUCUUGAGGAGUCCUGCAUCCGGUUCCCUGACAUUGCCUUCAUUUUCAAGUUCAGUGGCAACAUCCCUUUCCAGGCAAGAUUAAGGAUAGAAUGAGGAAAGGAAGGCAAAAGGACGCAGCACUAUACAGGAAAGAUCACUGGAACAGUCCGUAAUCACGUCUGCUUGCUUUCCAUUAGGCAGAGUUUAAUCACAUGGGUACCCAAUGGCAGGGAAGGCUGGAACUCUACUUACUGGUUGAUUCUCAACUAAAAGUUUAACUAUUGGAAUGAAGGAAAAACAGGCAUUAGAGCGGUGAUGUAGUUACUUGGUGGAAGGUACCUCUACUGCUUGGGUAAUGCUACUCUCUUUGUGGAGAAAUUCAAGAAGUGUUUGACUUGGGUGCAGAAAUGCACCCUUUUAGGUUGUGGUUAGGGUACAAGAAAUGAUCAAAACAAUUAGAGUAGGAGUAAUACAGUAGUGCUACAUCAGAGGAGUGAGGAUGGGCAGGGCUGCCGCCAGGAAUCGCAUAAGAGGCCUCCCUGGUUUCCUUGACAAGAGUGCAGGGCUUUCCUGUCACAUAAACAAGACCAUCCCAUCCGUGAGUUUGAAAGUGUUUUCCUUCUUUUUCCAGUGCCACUAAACUACAGGAAUUCUGUGGCUUAUGGACAACAACCACUAAACCAAAAUAAUCUGUAUCAAGCCGUAAGACAUUCUUAUUUUACUAAAUUAUGUGUGACAAAAGAACAUAGCAACAAAAGAUAAUUCCGCAAAUGUUUUCUGAUAGAGUCUAGAGAACUAGAAAAUAGUCAUACAAACAAACAGGAAGAAGAAUGGGCCUGGAGAUUAUUUCACCUAGUAAGCAGUUUCUGGUAACUCCUACUUACAGACUGCAUGUGUGAGUUUAAAGCGAGUCUGUAAUAGCAACAUUUUCCUUCUCCUUGAGAUUAUUGCCUUAAUGUUAAGCAUUUAUUAGUCAUUGAAUCAUCUGUACCUGGAAUAGUAUCUAAAUUUAUCUUACCAGCUUUUAUCUGACUCCAUUUUUAGUGCAUGCUGUGAAAUAUGAAAUAGAUUUUUGUACAGUUUUUAAAAUCCUGAAUAUUAUACAAUCUAGAGCAAUGCAUUUUCCCCUUUAUUUAGCAUUUUUCUUUGGCCUUACUCUAAGCCAGAUUUGAGACCUCACCUUCCAUAUGUGUGUUUAGUCAUUCUUGGCCAUUUACCGUAAAGUAGCUGCUAGAUCAUACCUGUAUGAGUGGUGUUUACUCUGCUGCUGAAACAGGGUGUGUUUUCAUUGUUGUGCUGUUACAGAGCACUUUCUGUUUGGCUUGAUAUUUAUUUUUUCUUCUGUGGAUGGGAAAUUGAGCUCUUCCAUUUCCAUUUGGAAAAGAUUGCACGUUGCCUGCUGUACCUAAUACUAGUGCUAAUUAUUACUGGAGUGGAGAGUCUUGGGGGACAGAGAAUGAUGUGUUGAGGGACAGGACCUUACGGGACAGGCUUUGCCACAUGAGCAGCACAGAGUGUGACAUGCAUGGGCACCAGAGCUUUGUAAGGUUUGGGAUAAAUUCUUUUUCUGGCUGGUGUUGGGGUGUAAAACAUUGAGCUCCCUACUGUUAAGCAGUUUUGUGUCUUAGUGAGAUUCUCUGUUUUUGGUUUUUUUUCUUUUGAGACAGGAUCUCGCUGUGUAGUUUAGGCUGGUCUUGAGCUCACUUUGUGGCACAGAUUGGUCUCAAACUUGCAAUGAUUGUUCUGCCUCAGCCUACCGAGUACUGGGAUGACAGGUGUGCGCCACCAUGCCCAGCUUUAUUGAGGGUCUUAGAACUUGGUUAUGAAUGAUUCUUAUUGUGUGGCCUCUGAAGGAGGCUCUAAGUAUGGAUUAACCCUGAUAACCUUGGCUUCCCUGCUGAUUUCCUGUCUGAUUUGUAGGCCUUUCUCUCUCUCACUGACUCUCUGUCUUUUUUUUGAGACAGGAUCUUCCUACAUAGUUUUGAUCCCUUUAAACUCACUGUGUAGCCCAGGCCAGCCUUAAACUUGAUGUCAUCUUCUUGCCUUAGCCUCCUAAGUGCUGGGAUCACAGGUGUGCACCAUGACCGAGUUCUUUCAUUUUUGAAUGUACAGUGGAUUCUCUAGUUGUGACCCAUCUGACAUAGGAACCACUUGGAUUAUGAUCAUGUUGUAGUUAGAGGUUGUGAGGAGAACAAUUAAAAUCAGGACAUGGAAUUUAUAAUAUUAUUUUAUGAUGGUCACACAGAGUUAAUACAAGAAACUAUAGGAAAUCUAUCCACAACACCAAAGACAUAAAAUAUUCAGUCAAGGGCCUAAAUCCCACAGCAGUGACCUGCAUGAGGCCAGAGGAAGACCCAAGUCUCAUAACAGUGCUUCCCACAAGUCCAACUAGACGUUUAGAGCCCACAAGAAGGACUCACGCCAGUCUCUUUUAUGGAUCUGUACUGGAAGGCCCAAAGGUCAGCGGUGGAAGCUAGAAAGUCUGUGCCAGCGGGGUGAAGGAGCUGUGUGGUAGGUCAAGGGAUCUACACUGAAGCUGAGAAGUGACACUCAUAAUAAAGACCAGAGCUGUCCUGAAAAACACCACAGCUAUCCUCAGCGACACGGAGGCCCGAGCUCCUCUCACGAUAAGCACAGUUGAGCACAUGCCAGGAAGCCAGUGUGACGAGUUCAUCCUGGAGACCAAGCGGCACACGUCUUCCCCUCCAGAGCCAGGAAGCAAUGCUCGAUGUGAGGACCAGAGCUUCUCCAGAAGAACCAAGAGCUCAAACAGCAACAUGUAGGAGAAACCUCAAUGCCUCAACACCUCAACCCCUCAACGCUUCCCUUCUCCUUCUCCAUGUCUCUUAUUUAUGCUGGCAACUUUCCUGACGUGGAACAUCGAUGCUCAGCAUCAUAGUGAUUUCAUUCAGCUGGCAUUAAGUUGACCACCAGUUUUUAAUCUGUAACAGAUUAGAAUUUUAAUUUUAACUUACAACCAAAGUCUUGGGUUAUGACCUGAAUCGUGGCCUCUGUGCUUCUAGAUGGUCUCAGAUACAGUUGACCCUUUAAAGAGUUCUGGAAGGAAUAUUCAACAUUUUUUCCUGUGUGAGAUUGAUUGAGAAAUCCUGGGCCAACAUCUCUCUGAGCACACCGAGAUGUGCAGGACAGACUCUGAAGGCUAUGGAGAACUUGAGCCUUCAGGUGACAACCUGAGUUACAGCGAGCCCUCGGGGAACAAUUGGUUUGUAAGUCAGGGUCUGCUGCGAUUGGUACAUCCUUGAUUUUAGUAAAUCCUCAGAUUUACAGGCACAAUUACAACUGUAUUUCUAACAUUAAAUAAAGUGUUAACUGAAAAACUUCAGACUUUUAAUGAUUAUAAAGCAAUGACUAAAGCUAUAAAAUCUUAAUGUAUAUAAAAUUAGUAUAAAGCUAUACUUUGUAAACAUUCAUUGCGAUGUACAGACAAGAACUUCUCCUUACCUCUAGGAUUGGCAGGUGGGUAAAACUGGUUCUGCUCGAUCAUAAAACCUGCCCCCUAGACACAAAACCUUAUUGGUCCUUGGCCACAUGUUCCCGGUAUAUCGACCUCUCUCCUGAGGUGAGUCAGCCACAAAAAGCUUUUCUUCCAGACCAGCUUGGUGUGCACCAGACUCUUGUUCUGGGGACGUGUUGUACAUCAUGGGGUAACUGUUAGUACUAAACUGUUCUAGGAAAUAGCUAAAAGUAGAUCUUAGAUGUUCUCCCUACAAAAACAUUAGAAGGUUAAUGUAGCUUGAGUAAAUCUUUUUUUUUUUUAAAGAGGGCAGAAAAAAACAAGAAACAAAAGACAAACAAACCAACAAAACACCCAAAACAGUAAUAUUUUAGGCUUUCAAAACAAGAUGAUAGGAAUUUAACAAUGGUUGUUAUUUUGCAUAGUUGUCUUCAAAAGAGUUGCUCAGAUUCCCAGAUUGAUCUAAUCGUGUAUUAACAGUUGUUUCAAGACUAGUAGAAUUGUUACUACAGUCAUCUUAGCUGUCUUAUGUAUGUAUAUACUCAAAUGUAUAUCUUUUUUCUUUCCUUCUUUUUUCCUUUUCCUACCCAUGUUAUUUUUCCCUUUUGAACAGUUUCUUACCCUUUUAUAAUGUAUAUUGAAGAUUUUGGAUUUUAUUUACUCUUUCAGUUUCUUACACCAGGUAGACAAUAUGGAAUAUACACAUGUGAGGCUGAUUUAUUUCACGUAUGAGUAUGGUCUCAAGUCCUAUCCAAUUACCUAUAAAAAAGCCUCAAUAUGAUCCUUUUUUAUAGCUGAGUAGUACUCCAUUGUAUAACAAUACCACAUCUUUUUUAUCCAUUCCUCAGUUGAUGGGCAUUUAGGUUGUUUCCAAGAUUUAGCUAGUGCAAAUUGUGCUGCAAUAAACAUGGGUGCGCAUGUAUCACUGUAGUAUGAUGUUUUUAGUUCUUCUGGGAAUAUGCCAGAAGCAGGAUAGCUGAAUCAAAUGAGACCUCUAAUCUUAGAUUUUUAAGGAAUCUCCACACUGAUUUCCACAGUGGUGUGCCAGUCUACACUCACCAACAGUGUAAAAGAGUUCAUUUUUACCCACAGCCCAUCUAGCGUUUGUUAUUAGUUGAUUUCUUGAUCCUGGCCAUUCUUUCUGGAAUGAGAUGGAAUCUUACUGUUAUUUUAAUUUGUGUUUCACUAAUGACCAAUGAUCCUGAACAUUUUUUCCUAUAUUUAUUUGCCGUUUGUAUUUUUUCAUCUCAGAUGCCCAUCUGAUGGAUUGGGUCUUCGAAUUAUGGGAGCCUGAUUUUCUUUAAUUCUUUAUAUGUUCUAGAUAGAAGUCCUUUGUGCGACAGUCGACCAAGAUUUUUUCCCAAUUUGUUGGGUUUACUUUUUACUCUGUUGGAGAUUUCUUUGACAUGCAAAAACUUUUUAAUAAGACAUGAUCCCACUUGUUGAUUCUGGGUAAUAUUUCCUGUGCAGUUUGAUUUUUUUUUUUUGUUUGUUUUCUUUAUGAAUUCUCUGCCUACCCCCAUGUCUUCAGGAUUGCUACCUACUUUGCUUCCAGUAGAUUUAGUGUUUCUGUUUUUAAUAUUUAGAUUUUUGAUCCACUCUGACUUUAGUUUGGUGCAUGGUGAUAAAGUAUCAGUCUAGUUUUAGUUUUUGGCAUAUGGAAAGCCAAUUUUUCCAGCACCACUUAUUAAAGAGGCUAUCUUUCUUCCAGUGAACCUGUUUGGCCCCUUCAUCAAAGAUAACGUGGCUGAGUACGUUUCUCAUUGUGACUAUAUCUUCUAAUCUAUUCCAUUGACCUUCGGGUCUGUUUUUGUUCCACUACCAUCCUGAUUUUGUCACAGUAGCUUUGUAAUAUAAUUUCAAGUCAGGGAUUGUGAUGCCUCCUGCCUUGCCUUUUUGCCCAGAGUUGCCUUUGCUAUUCUUGGACUUUCCUGGUUCCAGAUGAAUUUUAGGAACAAUUUCUCUAGAUCUGUGAUGCAUGCUAAUGGUAUUUUGAUUGGAAUUGCAUUAAAUCUAUACACAAUUUUGGGAAAUGGCCAUUUUUUACAAUGUUUGUUCUUCCUAUCCAUGAACAAGGAAUGUCUUUCCAUUUUCUAAAAUCCUCUUCAAUUUCUUGUUUUCACAGUACUGUAAUUUUCUAUAGAUCUUUUACUUCCUUUGUUAGAUUGAUUCCUAAGUAUUUCAUUUUUUUGGAUGCCAUUGCGAAGAACGUGGUUUCCCUUAUUUCGUGCUCAGUGAGUUUGUUGUGUAUGUACAGAAAGGCUAUUGAUUUUUGAGUAUUGACUUUGUAUUCAGCUACAUUACUGAAUUUGGUUAUUACAUCUAGAAAUAUUUCAAUGGAAUUUUGGGAGUCUUCAAUGUAGAGUAUAAUGUCAUCUGCGAAUAAUAAUAAUUUAACUUCUUCCUUUCCUAUCCUUAUUCCUUUUAUUUUUCUCUCUUGGCUAAUUGCUUGGUUAAUGUUUCCAGCUCUGUAUUGAAUAGGAGUGGUGAUGGUGGACAACCUGGUCUUGUUAGAGUGGAAGCUUUUAGUUUUUCACCAUUUAGCACGAUGCUGGCUGUUGGUUUGUCAUAGAUGACUUCUAUCAGAUUGGGGUAAAGAUGCUCUAUUCCAAUUUUCCGUAGGGUUUUUAUCAUGAAUGAGUGUUGGACUUUAUCACCAGCUUUUUCUGCAUCUACUGAGAUGAUCAUGUGAUUCUUAUCUGACUAUUGAUAUGGCAUAUUUAUUGAUUUGCAUGUGUUGAACCAUUCCUACAUUUCUGGAAUGAAUCUCACUUGAUUGUGGUGUAUAAGCUUCUCAAUGAUUUGCUGCAUUCUGUUUGCCAGUAUUUUAUUGAGGAAUUUUGUGUCUAUGUUCAUUAGCGAGAUUGGCCUGUAGUUCUCUUUUUUGGUUGUGUCAUCUCUGGUUUAGGGUAAUACUCACUUCCAGGAAUGAAUUAGGGAGGCUUGCUUCCCUUUCAGUUUCACUGAAGAUUUUGAGGAGUGUUAGCAUUCAGUCUUCCCUAAAUUUCUUGUAGAAUUGAGCUAUGACUCCAUAGGACUUGGGCUUUUCUUUGUUGGUUAAGUUUCUAAUUACAUUUUCAAUUUAAUUAACUGAAAUUGGGUUAUUCAGCAGUUUUAUGUCUUCCUGAUCCAGCCUUAGUAACUCGUAUGUUUCUAGAAAUUUGUCCAUUUCUUCUGUUGUCGAGCCUAUGAGAGUAAAGGUUUUCAAAGUAGGUAUUGUUGAUCUUCUGUAUUUCCACAGGGUCUGUAGUGAUUUCACCCUUUUCAUUUCUUAUUGCAUAGAUUUGGGUUUUUUCUUUCCUUUUUAAAAUAAGGUUGGCUAGGGGCUUAUCACUUUAUUCUUUCAAAGAACCAACUCUGAUUUAUUAAUUCCUUGUAUUUUCUUAGUCUCAGUUGUGUUAACUUUUGCUCUGAUCUUUAUAAUUUCUUUCCUUUUGGCUUUGGGUUUGACUUGCUCUUCUUUUUCUAGAUGUUUGAGGUGUAGCGUCAGGUUAUUUAUUCUGUUCAUUCUGUUUUCCUAUUGUGACAAUUCAUUGCAAUAAGUUUCCUCUGAGGACUCCUUUCAUUGCAUUCCACAGGAUCCGGUAAAUUAUAUUUACAUUUUCAUUGACCUGUAGUUGUUUAAUUUCUUCUCUAAUUGUCUCUGUGACCCAUUGAUUAUUCAGGAGGGUAUUGCCAUGUGUUUAUGGGGUUUUUACAGUUUCUUUUUUCAUUAAUUUCCAGUUCUAUGGCACUAUGAUCAGAUAAUAUGCAUGGGAUAAUUUUGAUUCUUUUGCAUUUACUUCAACAUGUUCUGUGUGCUAGUAUAUGGUCUGUUUUAGAGAAUGUCCCAUGUGAAGCUGAGAAGAAUGUUUAUUCUAAUGCUGUUGGGUAGAAUACUCUGUACACAUCUCUUGUGUCUACUAAUUCACAAGUUUGAUUCCAUUCUGUAAUUUCUUUGCUGAUUUUUUUGUCUAAUUGAUCUGUCUCUUUGUGUCGGUAGGGUGCUUAGGCCUCCUGUUAUAAUUGUGUUAUUGCUUAUUUGAUUUUUCAUGUCUAUUAAUAUUUUAUAUAGCUGGGUACUCCCAUAUUUGAUGCAAAUAUAUUUAAGAUUAUUAUCUCUUCCUUUUGAUGUCUUCCCUUAACCAGUAUGUAGUGACUUUAUCUUUUGGUCAUUCUUGGUUUGAAGUUCACAUUGUCUGCAAACAGAAUAGCUACCCCUGCUUUUAUUUGGGUUCCUGUUGCAUGAAGUAAUAUUUUACAUCCUUUGACGUUCAGUGUAUGAAUUUCCUUUUGGAUUAUAUGGGUUUCCUGUAUACAGCAUAUGGUUGGAUGUUGUUUCUUGAUCUAUUCUGCCAUUCUGUUUCUUUUAAUUGGUGAAUUGAGGCCAUUUGCAUUAAUGGUUAUAACUGAUGCAUAUUGACUUUUUUUUUUUCAUGUUAUCUUUCUGCUGUUGGUUCUUUACCUUUCCCCUCUGUUUAAUUGUUUGCCCUGCUUGAUGGUUUUUUUCUGUUGGUGUUCUUGAAAUUGUAGCCAUUUUUAUAUCUAUGUAGAAUAUCUUUCAGUAUUCUUUGUAGGGUUGGUUUGGUGGCCAUGUUCUUUGUUGUGGAUAUAUCUUAUUUCUCCAUCUAUUUUGAAGGAUAGUUUCAGGGUAGAUCAAUCUGGGUGGAAAGUUGUUUUCUUUUAGGAUUUGAAAUACUUUAUUCCAUGCUCUUAACUUGAUCAUUUGUGUUGAGAAGUCUGCUGCUUUCCUUUAUAGGUGAGUUGUUUUUUUUCUCUAAUGGCUUUUAAUAUUCUAUUCUUACGUUGAAUUUCUGGGUAUUAUAUGUCUGAGUGUGGAUUUAUUUUGGUUAUGGCUAAUUGGAAUUCUAAAUGCAUCACUUAUCUGUAUGUCAGUUUCUUUUCCCAUGUUUGGGAAAUUUUCUGCUAUUUUGUAAGUAGUCUUUAUAUCAUUUGUGUAGUCACCUUUUGUUUACACCUAUCAAUCUUAUAUUGUUUUUCUUUGCAUCAUCUUGCAACUGUUGAAUUGUUAUUUUCUUUUCUUUUCUUUUCUUUUUUUUUGUCUUUUUCCUUUUUAUUGGUACCGGGGAUUGAAUUGUUAUUUUCUGAUUCCUCAUUAUUUUUAAAAGAUCUUUCCUUUCUUGUUCACUAGCUGCUAUUGUAAACCCAAAUAUCAAGUUCAGUCAUCCUAGUAUUGUAAUCCUCUUUCUAGUUUUCCUCACAAUCUGGAAAGUUAUAUAUGUAAUCUCAUUGAGACAUUUUUGGAAUCCCAGCAGGUUAAUUCCAAUCUACCAUCACCAAUGCGAUCCAUAAGGAGAGUAAAGACACAAAGGCAUAUUCCAAGUUAAGGGCAGCCAAGAGGUCCUAAAUCCAAUCCUGGAUAAGGUCAUGCAGACAAAGCCCUUGACCCUAAGCCUCUCCCAGAAUUUAUUACCUUGUGAGGAAGGAUGGGGGGUAACUCAGGAAUGAGUGACAGUGAGGAUGAUGAGUAACUUGAGCUGGCUGGCCAGGUUCAAGAUUGGCAUCUCUGUAAAUUGCAGAGACAAAGAUACCAGAAAGAUCAAUUUACAUAAUCCAAUUAAGGUAGCAGUGGAAUUGUUUUGGAGAGGCUCUCUCUUUGGGUUCUGAUAUGUAUGCAGACUCUUGUGCCCUGAGGAGUCAUAGCCUCUUAUGUUGAGGCUGUACCCAGUUGAUCUUCCCGGAACUAUUUGCUCUAACAUCUCAAGUGCUCAAUCCUGUAGUGUGGAGAACACUAUGAGAGGAAACAGGACUGUCUGAUGGCUAUAGAUUUUGCAUAUUAGCACCUUGCCUAGCCUUAUUUGCAAUGCUGAGAGCCAGUUGAAGAGAGAAGCCAGCCUUUUACAAUAUAAGGAAAUGAGUCUCCAAAUAUCAACGUGACAGUAAUUGUUUUGGAUUCAAAGGAAGUCACUGGGAUCGCCUCCCACAGCUGCAAUCUUGUCUUCAAGGUCUACCUUCACAUUCAUUCAGCUGGUUUUGCCAGCUUUUCCUGGAUAUCUGUUUGACUUUUUUUCAUGUAUUCUAAUUGUUUCAUAUAUUUUUCAUUCAAAGUUUCCGUCAUUUUUCAGUGCUUCUCUGUUUUUUUAAGUAUGUCUUUUUAGAUGUGUUCAGCAUUUCUUUCAUUACAUGCAUCAUUUCUUGUUUUACCUAGGAGAUUAUUUCUGAGUUCCUUUACAGCUCAUGGAGUUGUUUCUUUAUUUCGGUUGCUAUCAUUUCAGAAAUUUCAGGUGUGUGACUUACACUUUAUUCUAUGUCCAUGUCUCCGAAGCUUGUUUAGGGUAGACUAGAGGUUUUGAGAUUGCAUUUUGCUCUUUUGUUGGGUCAUUUUCCUGUAUUGUCCUCAGGCAGCUAAAUGCAUAGUCCCACUUGCUUUGUAGGUUGACCUUGGCUCUGUAGACUGGAGGAGGUUUCCCCAACUGAGUGGGGGUUGUUAGGCAGGUCUUCCCAGAUCCAGAGCAGCUCUCUGAUGCUCCCUGGAUGGCUGGAGUACACUGGGUGGGCCUUCAGCAGGCCCCACGUGGCACACCAAGGCCCUUUGGCUGCUUAGGGUUGCUGGGUGGGGCCCUACCUGGCCCUGAGUGGUGCACCAAGGCUCCCGGGCUAGGCCUUCAACGGGCAGGCCUUCAACGGGUGCACUGAUUGAUGCUUCCCAGGUACUUGGGGUCACUGGGGGUACCUUACCAGGUCUCCAGUGUGCACAGAGACUGACCAGCUAGGUGGAAUUUUCUGGGCAGGUCUUCAGUGUCUGGGCAGGUCUUCAGUGCCAUGCAGGGCAGUGAGGGUUGAGGGACCUUAUCAGGUCUUUUGUGUGCACAGAAGCUCUCUGGCUAGGUGGAAUAUUCUGGGCAGGCCUUGAGCAGGCACCACACAAUGCACCAAGGCUCUCCAGUUCCUUAGGGUCACUGGGUGGGACCCAAGUGGCACACCACACAGCUCCCUGGCUAAGUGGAGUGCCUGAGUGAAUCUUUCGUAAUGUAUAUAUUAUAUUGUAUAUCAUAAAUUCUGUGAUAUGUAUUAGCAAAUUUUACCUUAGUAAAUCUAGGGCAGCUUAUCUUAAAGAUAAGCUGUGAAUCAGCAGGCUGUGCUUCGAGGUAGCACUGGAGAGGCCUGUAGCAUACAAACUCAGAGCCAAGUGGCUUCACACCAGCUUCGAAGAACAGCUUCUGGCCUGACUUCCCACGUAGGUGCUGCAUGUCGAGGACCUGUUGCACUGUUCGUGCAUAUUCAGAGCUGUGAAGCCAUAUGUAUGAAGGCUGUCUGUCCAUUAUUUCGUACUCCAAAUGAAUUGUGUGCUUUUUCCAGAUCAAAUCAUAUUGAUUUUCCACAGGCUUUCUUGUGUCCCACACAAUGUCUUACCCAUGUUUUCAGUACCCUGUGAAAUAUUUUCAUUAAAUGAGUUAAACAGCAGUUAAAUAUGAAAUUAAAUGAUCUGAUUGGUAAGAACUGUUAUAGGCCAGGGAAAAGAAAUACAUGAACUGUUUGGAGUGAGACAAAGUUCCCAUCAGCUACUGAACUGUAUAUAUUGGUUCUAAAACUGAUACGUGAAAACUUAUUCUUAUUUAUCCAAUGCAUACUUCCAGGCAUUGAACUCACUAAGUGUGGGAAAACAGUGAUGACAACGCAGACAAAAUUUCUAUCC